UACGAAGGGGACUAGCGUUGUUCGGAAUCACUGGGCGUAAAGCGCACGUAGGCGGAUUCGUAAGUCAGGGGUGAAAUCCCGGGGCUCAACCUCGGAACUGCCUUUGAUACUGCGGGUCUUGAGUCCGAUAGAGGUGGGUGGAAUUCCCAGUGUAGAGGUGAAAUUCGUAGAUAUUGGGAAGAACACCGGUGGCGAAGGCGGCCCACUGGCUCGUAUCUGACGCUCAGGCGCGACAGCGUGGGGAUCAAACAGG
rnacentral:rRNA from 1 species